GAAUGAAAUUGUUACAAGCAUUGCAUAUUCUCCAUUAGCGUUUAGCAUUACUCUGCCUCUCUUUGCAACAACCCUAAACUCUCUUUGUGUUUUCACAAAAUAACUAAAUAAACAAAGAAACUGUGUUUUUUAGUCUUCCAGUUCAAACACUCUCUUUUCUCUCCAUUAGGCUCCAUUGUCAUGGCUACGUUGAGGUUUCGAAAGCCUAGCGAGAUUGAUAUAUGUGAUGAAACACAAGAAGAUUGGUGGUCGGCCUCCAAGACCCACAAGCGGAGAUGGAGAAUGGCUUUCACGGCCAUAUCUUUCACCAGGCUCCUUUUUUCCUUGUCCAAGAAAGUCCUCGACAAUGAUGGCUCUCUCUUGCGCACCCUUUCCUACGUUGCCAUUGACGUGCCGCGUAUCAACGAGGACUCCCCACUUGACAACAAAGCUGUUACAUUACUUACUGUUGAUCCAACAAAGCUUCGUGACAUGGUAAGGGAUAAAAACUUUCAGUCUCUAAGUGAGUUUGGAGGAGUUCAAGAACUUGCUUUAAUUCUUGAAACUGAUGUAAAAAAUGGUAUCAAUGGUGGUGAGGCUGAUCUUAUUCAUAGACAGAAUGUUUUUGGUGCAAAUAAAUAUCAAAAACCACCACCAAAAGGGUUUCUAAAAUUUGUGUUUGAUGCAUUAAAAGAUAUAACUAUUAUAAUAUUAUUGGCAUGUGCUGUACUCUCUCUAGGCUUUGGUAUCAAGCAACAUGGCUGGAAAGAUGGGUGGUAUGAUGGUGGGAGUAUCAUUCUUGCUGUCGUUUUGGUUGUUGUUGUGUCCGCAGUGAGUGACUUUAAACAAUCAAAGCAAUUUCAGAAGCUUUCAACAAAGAGUAGUGAUAUAAGAGUCGAAGUUGUGAGAGAAGGGAGGCGCCAACCUAUAUCAAUAUUUGAUGUUGUUGUGGGAGAUAUUGUGUGCUUAAAGAUUGGUGAUCAGAUACCCUCUGAUGGGUUAUUCGUGGAAGGGCAUUCCUUGAAGGUGGAUGAGUCUAGCAUGACGGGUGAAAGUGAUCACAUUGAAAUCAAGGAAGGGAAUCCCUUUAUGUUAUCAGGCACAAAGGUCACGGAUGGCUUCGGUUUCAUGCUUGUCACUUCUGUGGGCAUGAACACAGCGUGGGGCGAGAUGAUGAGUUCAAUAAACCGUGAUUUGAAUGAGGAGACACCAUUACAAGUACGCCUCAACAAGCUAACUUCUUAUAUUGGGAAGAUUGGACUGUUGGUGGCUGCACUUGUUCUUCUUGUUAUGUUGAUUCGGUAUUUCACAGGGAACACGAGAGAUGACAAGGGAAACAAGGAAUUCAAUGGCAGCAAGACAAAGUUUGAUGAUGUGAUGAAUGUAGUAGUGAGCAUUGUAUCUGCUGCUGUCACUAUCAUUGUAGUGGCUAUUCCAGAAGGCUUGCCACUGGCUGUUACUUUAACUCUGGCUUAUUCUAUGAAAUGCAUGAUGGCUGAUCAUGCUAUGGUCCGGAAACUAUCAUCUUGUGAGACAAUGGGCUCAGCUACAAUAAUCUGCACAGACAAAACAGGCACUCUCACACUAAAUGAAAUGAAAGUUACAGAGUUUUGGCUUGGAAAGGAAGCAAUGAAAGAUGACAGUUCUGCAGGUUUGGCAGGUAAUAUUCUCAAACUACUACAACAAGCAGUUAGCUUAAACACAACUGGUACAGUUUACAAACCACAUUCUACAUCAGUUCCUGAGAUUUCUGGUAGCCCAACUGAGAAAGCAAUCCUUUCUUGGGCUGUAUUAAAUUUGGAUACGAGUAUUGAUGACAUAAAGCAGAAUUAUCACACAAUCCAUGUAGAGGCCUUCAAUUCAGAGAAAAAGAGAACAAUGAGAAAACCAUUCAUACUCAUUGGAAGGGAGCUGCUGAAAUGAUACUGGCAAUGUGUUCAUCUUAUUAUGACAGAGAAGGGGUGCUGAAAGUAAUGGAUGAGGACGAAAGGUUGCAGUUUGAGUCUAUUAUUAAGAAUAUGGCACAAAAAAGCUUGAGAUGCAUUGCAUUUGCCUACAAAGAAGUUGAAGAAGAAAGUGGACAAGUUCUUGAGAAGCUUGACGAAAAUGGGCUGACAUUAUUAGGGUUAGUUGGCUUGAAGGAUCCAUGUCGGCCAGGAGUCAGUGCAGCUGUGGAGUCUUGCAGAGCUGCUGGAGUGAAUAUCAAAAUGAUCACUGGUGACAAUGUGCAUACAGCAAAGGCUAUAGCUCUUGAAUGCAAGAUUCUCAAUCCUAAUGAUGAUUUGGGUAAUGAAGCUGUAGUUGAAGGGGUGCAUUUUAGAAAUUACUCACCGGAAGAGAGAAUGGAAAAGAUUGAUAAAAUCCUUGUAAUGGCCAGGUCAUCCCCUUUUGACAAGCUUCUUAUGGUACAAUGCUUGAAGCAGAAAGGCCAUGUUGUUGCAGUCACAGGUGAUGGAACCAAUGAUGCACCUGCACUAAAGGAAGCUGACAUUGGGCUUUCAAUGGGUAUCCAGGGAACUGAAGUGGCAAAAGAGAGCUCAGAUAUAGUCAUCCUAGAUGACAAUUUUACCACUGUGGUAACAGUAUUGAGGUGGGGAAGGUGUGUAUACACUAACAUACAAAAGUUUCUUCAGUUUCAGCUCACCGUGAAUGUUGCUGCCCUUGUUAUCAACUUUGUUGCAGCUGUUUCUUCUGGUAAGGUUCCUUUGACUGCAGUCCAACUAUUAUGGGUAAAUCUGAUAAUGGAUACAUUGGGAGCUUUAGCCUUGGCUACUGAGAAACCCACUAAUGAUCUUAUGACAAAGCCACCUGUUGGUCGAUUGGAGCCACUUAUAACCAAAAUCAUGUGGAGGAAUCUCAUAGCACAGGCUGUGUAUCAAGUAACCAUCUUAUUGGUUUUACAAUUUAAGGGAAAAUCCAUCUUUGGUGUAAAGGAGAGCAUUAAGAGCACCCUCAUUUUCAAUACUUUUGUCCUCUGCCAAGUAUUCAAUGAAUUUAACGCAAGGAAACUGGAGAAGAAGAAUAUAUUCAAAGGGAUACUUACGAACAAGCUGUUUAUGGCAAUUGUUGGGAUCACCAUAGUUCUUCAGCUGGUGAUGGUGGAGUUUCUGAAGAGGUUUGCCAAUACUGAGAGACUGAAUUGGGGGCAAUGGGGUGUUUGCAUUGGACUUGCAGCUUUGUCAUGGCCAAUUGGUUGGCUUGUAAAGUUCAUCCCAGUUUCAGGCAAGCAGUUGGGAAACCAAAGAGCUUCUAUGUUCGGAAGCACCAGCCAAUAUUAGCCCUUAAUCAAGUGACAAGUAUGUUUUAAGUACUCUUUUUGCAUUACCAGAAUUCUGUAUAAGGUUUCUCAAAUUAGGGCAUACUUUGAUGCAACCUAUAUUCCCAUAUAAAAGUAAAUAAUAAAUAAAUAAACUGCUCUAGUAUGUGGCCAACUAGGCAGGUAGACAGGUUUCGUGAAAGAAGGAAAUAAAUUUUAGUAGUAACACAGGACAUUGAAUCAAAAAAUUAAAAAUACAAGCAAAACAUUUGUAAUAAUAUGAAAGAUUAGUCAAUGAGAUCAAAUUGUUUGUAAUAUAUAGUA